rnacentral:tRNA from 1 species
GCGUGCGUGGCGGAGCAUUUUCUUCCCAAGUAGAGAGCCGUAGGUUCGAGUCCCAUCGCCCGCGCCA